rnacentral:lncRNA from 1 species
GAGAGGGUGAGGGCUCAACCUUGGCAGAAAAAGCCCCUGAGAAACCCUGAGAACACUGGCCGUGACGCUGGAAACACUCUUCUGGCAGAAGCUGAAAGAGACGGCCUGGCUCUAAGCAGGCUUAAGAGGCUCAUCAGCCCCUAAGCUGUGGUCAGCUGACAUGGUACGGGGAGGGGGGGGCACUCUCCCAGAGCACCAGGGACCUGCCCCCUGUCCUGCCUAGGGACCAUCCAAUCCACCCAUCACUCAUCUACCCUGCAGGAGACUUUCUGAAGGAGGCCCAAAGGGUCGUCAGGGAAAGUACAGAAGACCAAUUUGGGGGGAGGAUUCAGUAUAGAGGGAGUGGCGAUGGGAGUCAGAAGACACCAUGGUAGAAACAGUGCACAAAUGUGGAGCCAAGAUGACUCAGGUUCUAAGUUCCAGCUCCCCUACUGAUGCUCUGGCAUCAGUUAGAUCUUUUAACCCCUGUCCCUCCCCCCAGCCUCCACUGCUUGAUCUGUAAAAUGAAGCUAAUAAGAUAAUAAGAAUACCUGCCUCUAAAAGGAAUGUAUGUGUUUUUCAACUAUAGAGUACCAUGAAGAUUAUUACUGUUGACAUCUGUGGCCCAGGCAGUACCAGACCAUAAGUCUGUCCUUCAGCAGUCAGAGCCGAUAACCAGGUGGCUACCCAGAUUAAAGAGCAGACAUCUGUGCAGCCUUCUAAAUGCCCAGGAAACAGCCAACUCAGGCGCGUUUUCACACCUCAUUACCCUGGGCUCUUGGUCCCUAGGUCCCUGCAGCCUGGACAAGGUACUGUGGCCUUGGGACAGCAUAGCCCUGAUGGUCAAGGCAAGUUCGCCUUCAUCCUCUUCUGACACUCAGCUGUGGUUGCAAAGUCUGAGAAUCCCGGGCCUGAGACAACACAUGUCCACCUCUUCUCCGCACUCUGAAGAGGCUGAACUAACACAGCGUGAGGCUUUAAGAAGUCACUUAAUCGCUCUGAGCCCACUUUUCUGCACUAAAAAAUGCAAUAACUGUGAGCCUCCAACCAGAUAAUGUUCGUGAAGCACUCUGUAAACAAUAAAACAUUAACCCCAAACA